UCUUGGUCAUUUAGAGGAAGUAAAAGUCGUAACAAGGUCUCCGUUGGUGAACCAGCGGAGGGAUCAUUACCGAGUUAUACAACUCAUCAACCCUGUGAACAUACCUAAAACGUUGCUUCGGCGGGAACAGACGGCCCUGUAACAACGGGCCGCCCCCGCCAGAGGACCCCUAACUCUGUUUUUAUAAUGUUUUUCUGGGUAAACAAGCAAAUAAAUUAAAAUUUUCAACAACGGAUCUCUUGGUUCUGGCAUCGAUGAAGAACGCAGCGAAAUGCGAUAAGUAAUGUGAAUUGCAGAAUUCAGUGAAUCAUCGAAUCUUUGAACGCACAUUGCGCCCGCCAGUAUUCUGGCGGGCAUGCCUGUUCGAGCGUCAUUACAACCCUCAGGCCCCCGGGCCUGGCGUUGGGGAUCGGCGGAAGCCCCCUGUGGGCACACGCCGUCCCUCAAAUACAGUGGUGGACCCGCCGCAGCUUCCAUUGCGUAGUAGCUAACACCUCGCAACUGGAGAGCGGCGCGGCCAUGCCGUAAAACACCCAACUUCUGAAUGUUGACCUCGAAUCAGGUAGGAAUACCCGCUGAACUUAAGCAUAUCAAUAAGCGGAGGA
rnacentral:rRNA from 1 species